rnacentral:rRNA from 1 species
UACGAAGGGGGCUAGCGUUGUUCGGAAUCACUGGGCGUAAAGCGCGCGCAGGCGGAUCGUUAAGUCAGGGGUGAAAUCCCGAGGCUCAACCUCGGAACUGCCUUUGAUACUGGCGAUCUUUGAGUCCGGGAGAGGUGAGUGGAACUCCGAGUGUAGAGGUGAAAUUCGUAGAUAUUCGGAAGAACACCAGUGGCGAAGGCGGCUCACUGGCCCGGUACUGACGCUCAGGUGCGAAAGCGUGGGGAGCAAACAGG